AGAGAUGAAGCCAACAUAGCUCUGUGUCUCACCCAAGGCCUGCUGUAACCACUCCCUGGACAGCAUUGAAUUCAGAGCCUCACAAUUGCUGUGUUCUACUUCGCCUAGCAACCAGAGAUGAUCCCUGCAACAUGCUGCUGUUGCUGGGAGUGGGAAAGAGGUGGCAUCGGCGGUUCAAGACUGAGUUUUCUAUCUCUUCAGUGCCUCUUUCAACAAUGAAGAUCAAACCAGGUUUUGUGCAAAUAUCUGCUGAGUGAACUACUUAUUUGAAAAUACAUCAUUGGUUAAUAUUCCCUUUUGCUCAUUGAAAUCUCAAAGACUACAGACCCCGCACAAGACAUUCUGACAUUCCCGUCUUUGAAAUGAAUGACAGCAAUGAUAAAUAUGGCUCACCUCCAGAGAUACAGAUCUCACAACUUCAUAUUUUUAAUAUAAAUUAUUAAUCUGAGGUGUGGUGCAAUUCCAUUAGAUGAAAGAGAUCUACACAUUCAGAAGCACAUGAUUCUUCCCCCUUCCAUGAUUCCAGUGGCCAAUAGACAAACUACAAUAAAGCCAUGCCCUGACUGGAUGUGCCUAACAUUUGUCUGGUGCUUAAAGGAGUUGGCUGCAUGCGUGGGAUGGAGAAGGAUUCAACAUUUAAUGGCAGUUAGAAUCAAAUUUUUAACUCAAGAAGGCAGAAGGAAUCCACCUAAAUAAAUGUUGGAAAGUCACCAAAAAUAGUUCUCCAAGUCAGAAGCGGUGCAAAAGCUGCCUCAGCUCUUGGUGGAUUUUCAAUUUCUCCCAGCCAUCUCUGUUUCGCUAAAGGUUUCUGAAGACAGUGGAUAAUGAAGAUAUUAUACCAUUAUAUGCUCUUGAAUCUGUCUCAUUGUGACUUGGCGAAGAGGCAGUGAAUCUGCCAAAAAGAAGUAGAGCAGCUGUGAAGAUGCCAACACAAUUGAGUACUCUUUCUCUACAUAUUUCUAAAUAUGGCAAUUUAUUGGACACUUAUGAGCAUGGAAUGACAAUGGGGUCAAUUUAACCAUACGGCAAUGCUGAGACACCUUCAUUAUGACCUUUCCCUGGUAUAAGUUAUGUGAUAAUGAAUGCAUGUUUAGUCACACACUGUAGGUACAGAUGGGAAAAAAGAAAGCAUAAAAUAUAAAACAUGAUGUCCAGGUUUCAAAUAAGAAUUCUAAAAUGUUAUUUAAUUAAUGAAAUGAAAAUACUUUACUUUAGAAAAAGAAUAUUGAAUCUCUUUGAUGUAUAAAAUGUAUAUUUCAAAUUAAAAAUUCAAAAGAAACAAA
rnacentral:lncRNA from 1 species